CCUACGGGGGGCAGCAGUGAGGAAUAUUGGUCAAUGGGCGCAGGCCUGAACCAGCCAAGUCGCGUGAGGGAAGACUGCCCUAUGGGUUGUAAACCUCUUUUAUAAGGGAAGAAUAAUGACUACGUGUAGUCAGAUGCCCGUACCUUAUGUAUAAGCAUCGGCUAACUACGUGCCAGCAGCCGCGGUAAUACGUAGGUGGCAAGCGUUAUCCGGAUUUAUUGGGUGUAAAGGGCGUGUAGGUGGGAAUGCAAGUCAGAUGUGAAAACU
rnacentral:rRNA from 1 species